rnacentral:rRNA from 1 species
CGUAAAGCGCAUGCAGGUGGUUUGUUAAGUCAGAUGUGAAAGCCCCGGGGCUCAACCUCGGAAAUUGUCAUUUUGAAAACUGGCAAACUAGAGUACUGUAGAGGGGGUAGGAAUUUCAGGUGUAGCGGUGAAAUGCGUAGAGAUCUGAAGGAAUACCGGUGGCGAAGGCGGCCCCCUGGACAGAUACUGACACUCAGAUGCGAAAGCGUGGGGAGCAAACAGGAUUAGAUACCCUGGUAG